rnacentral:rRNA from 1 species
AUACGGAGGAUCCGAGCGGUAUCCGGAUUUAUUGGGUUUAAAGGGUGCGCAGGCGGCCAUUUAAGUCAGCGGUUAAAUCGUGGGGCUCAACCCCAGUCUGCCGUUGAUACUGGGUGGCUUGAUUGCGGUCGAGGUUGGCGGAAUACGUUGUGUAGCGGUGAAAUGCAUAGAUAUGACGAAGAACAACGAUUGCGUAGGCAGCUGACCAGACCGCAAAUGACGCUCAUGCACGAAAGUGCGGGGAUCGAACAGGAUUAGAUACCCUGGUAGUCCGCACAGUAAACGAUGAAUACUUGUUUUCGGCGAUAUAAUGUCGGAGGCAAAGCGAAAGCGAUAAGUAUUCCACCUGGGGAGUACGCCGGCAACGGUGAAACUCAAAUGAAUUGGCGGGG